rnacentral:rRNA from 1 species
AUUGAACGCUGGCGGCAGGCCUAACACAUGCAAGUCGAACGAGUGGCGGACGGGUGAGUAAUGUCUGGGAAACUGCCCGAUGGAGGGGGAUAACUACUGGAAACGGUGGCUAAUACCGCAUACCAUCAGAUGUGCCCAUAUGGGAUUAGCUAGUUGGUGGGGUAAAGGCUCACCAAGGCGACGAUCUCUAGCUGGUCUGAGAGGAUGACCAGCCACACUGGAACUGAGACACGGCCCAGACUCCUACGGGAGGCAGCAGUGGGGAAUAUUGCACAAUGGGCGCAAGCCUGAUGCAGCCAUGCCGCGUGUAUGAAGAAGGCCUUCGGGUUGUAAAGUACUUUCAGCGGGGAGGCGUUACCCGCAGAAGAAGCACCGGCUAACUCCGUGCCAGCAGCCGCGGUAAUAC